rnacentral:rRNA from 1 species
CCUACGGGAGGCAGCAGUGGGGAAUAUUGCACAAUGGGGGAAACCCUGAUGCAGCGAAGCCGCGUGAGUGAAGAAGUAAUUAGUUAUGUAAAGCUCUAUCAGCCGGGAAGAAAAUGACGGUACCUGAGUAAGAAGCCACGGCGAACUACGUGACAGCAGCCGCGGUAAUACGGAGGGGACAAGCGUUAUCCGGAUUUACUGGGUGUAAAGGGAGCGUAGACGGCAGUGCAAGUCUGGAGGUAAAGGUGGGGGCUCAACCCCCGGACUGCCCUUGAAACUGUACGGCUGGAGUGCAGGAGAGGUAAGUGGAAUGCGUAGUGUAGCGGUGAAAUGCGUAGAUAUUAGGAGGAACUCCAGUGGCGAAGGCAGCUUACUGGAGCGUAACUGACGUUGAGGCACGAAAGCGUGGGGAGCGAACAGGAUUAGAUACCCGGGUAGUC